GGUUGUAUAGUGUAGUGGUCAUCACAUCGGAUUUUGAUCUUUACCAAAACCUUCCGGGAACCCCGGUUCGAUCCCGGGUACGACCU